rnacentral:lncRNA from 10 species
CACCCAUGCAAAUCCUAGCAUCUUCUGUCCCUCCAUUCACAGGGUGUGUUAGGAGUUACAUCCACUAACCUCUGGGGCUAGAAUGUUCCUCCUAAUCCCGGAUUACCAGCUUACAACCCCAAUGCCCACUUUCUCAAACAAGCCUCGUCUUUUUAAAGAAGCCAAAUAUGGUGAUAGAGACUCUCAUCAAGGACACUGAGUAAACCAGAAACCUGCUUGGGCUCACGUUCCUUGUCUCUUCUUCUCAGAUCCAGGAAAGGAGCUGUCCAGGACAAUGAGGAUAGGCUGAGGAAAGACAGGCCACGGCCUUGCCUCUGUGCCAGCUCUCAUGGGCCAGGCAGAGUAUCCCAGGACAACUGCCUCCACAACCAGCUCCAUCCUUCAUCAGCAAUUCAGUACCUGAUUAACAAAUCUGUACCCCAGGAGGUUAUGCCAAGUCCAACUUCUUCCAGAGACCACAACAAUAAAUCCAAGCCACUGCUAAUGUCAUUUAUAAGCUGUGGGAUUAAAACAGAGAAGCAAUCAAUUAAUUAAAAUUAGCUCUUUAUUGAAACUAUAAGCAUCUUGCUUCCUAAGAUUCUAGACCAAAUAAGUGACCGCCAAUUCUACUCUUAUAGAAUGAAAGAGUUUGCCAUUUUUAAUGUAAUGAAAUUUUUUCACUCUGAAAUAAGAUUAAUUCAAAA